rnacentral:rRNA from 1 species
AAUCCUUUUGGAUUUUAGUAUUUCAAAACGAAAUUCCAAACUCUCAACGAUGGAUGCCUCGGCUCGAGAAUCGAUGAAGGACGCAGCGAAGUGCGAUAAGCACUGCGAUUUGCAGAAUUCCGUGAACCAGUAGAAAUCUCAACGCAUACUGCACAAAGGGGAUCUUUCCUCUUUGUACAUACAUAUCAGUGUCGCUC